GGAAGGCUGGCACAGUGACUGUAUACCAGGGAAGGCUGGCACAGUGAGUGUGUGUAUCAGGGAAGGCUGGCACAGUGAGUGUGUACCAGGGAAGGCUGGCACAUUGACUGUAUACCAGGGAAGGCUGGCACAGUGAGUGUGUAUCAGGGAAGGCUGGCACAGUGAGUGUGUGUACCAGGGAAGGCUGGCACAGUGAGUGUGUGUACCAGGGAAGGCUGGCACAGUGAGUGUGUGUAUCAGGGAAGGCUGGCACAGUGACUGUAUACCAGGGAAGGCUGGCACAGUGAGUGUGUGUAUCAGGGAAGGCUGGCACAGUGAGUGUGUACCAGGGAAGGCUGGCA